CGGCCACGCCGGCCGCGCCUGGUCCGGCCUCUGCUGCGCGGCCGACCACCACCCACCACUGCCCUCCGCGCCAGACGUGGGUAGGUCUGAGAGGAAAUCCGUCUGAGUACCAGCCUCGACAGUCCGUCUGAGUACCAGCCUCGACAGCCCGUCUGAGUGUACCCUUGUGUACAGAGUGUACACUUGUGGCCAGGCCCACUCUUCUCUUCCGUGUCGGUCGGCGCGUCAUACAACUCCGCCGCCGGCGCCGCGAGCCAAUGGUCGGCGCGGCGCC